UACCACAAUAUCAACUUCUGAACUACACAAAAAAAAAAUAAAAAAGUCAUUCUAUUACAUUCUAAAAUGAUACCAUGGUAUAGGGCGUUUAGGUUCCAUAUACCAGCCGAUAGUCCUAUUAAUUCUUUUUCGUGAAGCUAUGUGGUGCUGGUAGUCUCUCAUACUGUGCCGUUCAUACACUCACCCGGCCAAAGCAGUAAUAGAAUAGAAUAGAAUGACUGCUUUUUUUGACCUAGGAGGGCAGCAGUAAUAAUAGAUAGUCAACAGUAAUCGGUUUGAGUCAACAAAAAUCGGCUUGAAAAUCGAAAUAUAGACGACCUAUACCAUGUUGUAUCUACAGUCCGGGUUCUGUAGCUUUGCCUAUCGGCGAAGGCCAUUAGACUUCAAUACUACCCGUUCAAAAACAUUGAAUAUUUUUGAAUAUGUAUCUUUCCAUAAGCAACAGAUGCUCUUUUGUAUCUUCUCAAAAGCAACGUGUUGCAUCCGAAAAAAUACACAAAUAGCUUUUUGGAGUUACGUUCUUUUAGCAAAACACAGGCUAUCAGCUGUUCAUUUGUUUAACAUGCUCCUCCUAUUGUUGGUGAUACGUUGCAAAUCUUCAUUCAUGAAGAAUCUCUGUGUGUAGGGAGCUUACUCCAUCUAGGAAUCUAAGUUCUCUGAAGCCUUAUGUUUUUGCAAAGCCUUGAAUAUUACCCGCAAACCAUACCUUACCUAUAAUGCCGUUUUAAAGUCACACAGCCUAUCAGCUGUUCAUUUGUUCAACAUUCACUUUCCAUUGUUGGUGAUACGUUGCGACUCUUUCAUUCAUGAAGAAUCUCUGUGUGUAGGGAGCUUCCUCCAUCUAGGGUAUCUGAAGUUUGAAGUUUUUGCAAAACCUUGAAUAUUAUCCCGCAAACCGUAACAAACCAUCUAGGGAUAUAUAGGUUCUCUGAAGCCUGAUGUUUUUGCAAAGCCUUGAAUAUUAUAUUUAUUUUAUCAAUCUGUAUUAUUUUAUGGCAAAUAGAUGAAUUUGAAUUUGAAUUUACCCCGCAAACCAUACCAAACCAUCUAGGGAUCUAGGUUCUCUGAAGCCUGAUGUUUUUGCAAAGCCUUGAAUAUUACCCCACAAACCAUACCAAACCAUCUAGGGAUCUAGGUUCUCUGAAGCCUGAUAUUUUUGCAAAGCCUUGAAUAUUACCCCGCAAAUUAUACCAAACCUUCUAGGGAUCUAGAUAUCAUUGUCAUCAUUCUAUUAUCAUUUUGUAAAUGUAUUUAUUGUAUAAAUGAAUGAAUGAAUCUAGGUUCUAUGAAGCUUGAUGUUUUGCAAAGCCUUGAAUAUUACCCCGCAAACCAUACCAAACCAUCUAGGGACUACAUAUCAUUAUCAUUAUCUAUUAGCGUUUUGAUAAUGUACUUAUUGUAUAAAUGAAUGAAUGAAUCUAGGUUCUCUGAAGCCUGAAGUUUUUGCAAAGCCUUGAUUAUUACCCCGCAAAACAUACCAAACCAUCUAUGGAUCUAGAUAUCAUCAUCUAUUGGCGUUUUGAUUAUGUACUU